rnacentral:rRNA from 1 species
CGGACGGGUGAGUAACGCGUGGGUAACCUACCCUGUACACACGGAUAACAUACCGAAAGGUAUGCUAAUACGGGAUAAUAUAUUUGAGAGGCAUCUCUUGAAUAUCAAAGGUGAGCCAGUACAGGAUGGACCCGCGUCUGAUUAGCUAGUUGGUAAGGCAACGGCUUACCAAGGCGACGAUCAGUAGCCGACCUGAGAGGGUGAUCGGCCACAUUGGAACUGAGACACGGUCCAA